CGGAAUUAGAAGUUGCCCGAGGUCAAGGGCC
rnacentral:sRNA from 1 species